rnacentral:rRNA from 1 species
AUUGAACGCUGGCGGCAGGCCUAACACAUGCAAGUCGAACGAGUGGCGGACGGGUGAAUUAUGUCUGUGAAACUGCCCGAUGGAGGGGGAUAACUACUGGACACGGUAGCUAAUACCGCAUACCAUCGGAUGUGCCCAGAUGGUAUUAGCUAGUAGGUGGGGUAACGGCUCACCUAGGCGACGAUCCCUAGCUGGUCUGAGAGGAUGACAAGCCACACGGGAACUGAGACAGGGUACAGACUCCUAAGGGAGGCAGCAGUGGGGAAUAUUGGACAAUGGGCGAAAGCCUGAUGCAGCCAUGCCGCGUGUAUGAAGAAGGCUUUCGGGUUGUAAAGUACUUGCAGCGAGGAGGCGGUACUCGCAGAAGAAGCAUCGGCUAACUCCGUGCCAGCAGCCGCGGUAAUUC